UGCAGUAGUAUUCCAUUUUAUUUUGUAUUUUUAUUUUUAUCCGCUUCUCUUCCACAAAACUCUCUUACAGCCCCCGCCCCUCCCUUCCACUUCCUUUCUCUAACAAGCUUAUUAGGGUUAGGGUUUUAAAGCCCCCCAAACAAGCUUUCCUUAAUUUUAUAUAUUUUGGGUUUCUCAAUUCGACAUUUUCUUUGGUCGCCGGCAGGUUAUUUUUUCUUCUUGGGAGCGAAUGAUCUUUCAAUGCCUGGGCCACGAAAGAUCAAAUCUUGUGUUGCAAAACCUAGGAAGUUGAAAAGCGCUUGCUUUUUCUAUAAAGAAGUGGGUGAUUUAGGUGUUUUUUCAUCCACAAAGACCUCCAAUUCGUCUUCCUUUUUAUCUUUUACUCCAAUUCGUCUUCCUUUUUAUCUUUUACUCUCCGCAUGCCCUUAAUUUGAUUCCCACCUCUCUGAUAUUUUGGGUCCUCAUGGCGCCAAGUCGAAGAAAAGGUGCCAAUAAGGCCGCAGCCGCCGCCGCGGCCCGCCGACAAUGGAAGGUUGGUGAUCUUGUUCUUGCCAAAGUUAAAGGUUUUCCGGCCUGGCCUGCUACGGUAAGUGAGCCGGAGAAGUGGGGUUAUGCUACGGACUGGAAGAAAGUACUUGUCUACUUUUUUGGAACUCAACAGAUAGCCUUCUGUAAUCCUGCUGAUGUUGAAGCGUUUACUGAAGAGAAAAAGGAAUCUCUUCUAGGCAGACGUCAUGGAAAAGGUUCUGAUUUUGUUCGUGCUGUGCAUGAGAUAAUUGAAAGCUAUGAGAAGCUGAAAAGGCAAGAUCAAGUCAAUAAUGCAAACACCACAGUUGAUGGUACGCUGGCCAGUGAAAAUAACUCUGGGGAACUAUCAAUCAAAUCUUAUGCAAAUGGUGAAGCUGCUGGUACAACAUUUCAUUUAUGUCAGAAAAAGACACAUUCUACUGCAGAAGAAGGUGAUGUGGGUGUGAAAUCCAAGAGUGGUACUGCUGUAAAUGGACAAGAAGAUUUGCCAGACAGAGGAAUGCCUGAAAAGGAGGUUGUUACAGAAAUGGCCUGGGCAAAUACUGACUCCUACAGAAAAAUUGUUGAGAGCAAUAGGUCACAAAAAUGUUUCACACGUAGAAGGCCUCCCUCUGCUCGACGGGCUAGAAGCAGGGCAGAUUCUAGUAAGGUUAAAAAUUUCAUAACCCACUCUGGGGUCACAGAUAGUGUAUUUCGGGAUGGAUCUGGGAGGAGAAAUAAAAGGAUUAGAAAAUCACCUGAUGUUUUAACUGGCCAUGAUAUGGAUUUGCAUGAUUUGAUUUCAAAUUGUAGCAUUGAAGGGAAUGACUCAGAAAUCUUGACAGCGGACUCUGAUUCACUGAGCUUGAAUGAAGGCAGCACUGUUGAGUCUGAAUGUAAGGAUACACAUCCCGACUCUGUUAUUGAACUUGCUCAAAGAAAUGUUGAGAACCAAAGGCUUGACUUCCAAAGAAAUGGCAUCCAUAAAAAGAGAAGGAUGCCUAAUAGAAAAAGGCCUAAUUCUGAGGUUGUCGAAUUCAAUGCUAGACCAGAUGAAAAGGUAGAUUCAGUUGCUGAUCUUGUUAAGGGUGAACGUAUCUUGCCUGGUGAUCAAGAGAGAUCAACUGAAAGAUUCCCCAAGGAAGAUGGUGAUGAGCACCUGCCUUUGGUCAAAAGAGCUAGGGUUCGUAUGGGUAGGGCAUCAUCUACUGGAUGUGAACCUGAAACUUCAUUGGAUACUGAAGAGAAGCGGCCAGACGUUUGUAAUAGCCUUUCAGAUCAUAUCCAUGUGUCAUCCGAUCGGGAAGGAGAUGGUUCUACAGAUCAGAACCCUUCUACUGUGAAAGGAGAUGUAGAAAAUUCACCACCAUUAAAUAAUUCUCAUGCCAUGAAGUGUGACUUAUGGGAAGUAAGAAAGAAUCAACACUUUGGUAGUUCUUUAGAUGGUGAAGCUGCUUUACCUCCCUCAAAACGCUUGCAUCGUGCAUUGGAGGCCAUGUCAGCGAAUGCAGCUGAAGACAAUCAAAUAGCUUCAGAUGGACCAUCAACAACAAAUGCUGACACUAAUGGAUUUUCUUCGUCGUCAGAUGACCACGCAAAGUUCUCUCUGGAAAGACAGUCAGUCAGUCAAUUUGGAGUCAGUUUAGCAGAGGAAAAUCUUAGUAAUAAUGAUUCUCGGGAUGGUGUCUCUGAGUUUUCUGUGCAGUCUGACUUGCCAAUAGAACAAGUUAGGAUAUGUUCGGGAGUGGUGGCAAUUCGCUCCAGCGAUGAUAGCUCAAAGAGUAAGUCAUGCAAAGAUGAUGUGGAUUAUUCUGAUGGUAAAAAUCUUUUAGAAUCUUCUUCUGGUGACCUCAUUGAUGCUGCUUUAAUUUUAGAAUGCCCCAAAUCUUUGUCAACUAAAGAGGCUCAUGUGAGUACUAAUGGUUCACUGGAUGCGGUCUUGCCAUUAAAAGGUGGUUGCACAAAUGGAAAAACUGAUUUGGGCAAGUCUCCGGAAACUCUUGAUGAUAAAACAUCCCUGUUAAGUUCUAAUCUUCUAGCAGCGGAAGAUGCCACCAUUCAGUUACCACAUAGUGCUACCAAUAUGCAAACGGAUAAUGCAGAUGCCAAAUUUGAUGAAACUAUGAAGUCGUGUCAAUUCAUAUUAGAGGACAAGAAACAAGUUAAUGAAUUGUUGAAGGAUGUUGGAGCAACUGGGCCCACCAUAAGGGAUUGUGAUUCUAUGUUAUCUCCAGCUCACAUGGAUGUUAUGACUAAUGGCAAAGAGGAUCAAGAUCACUCUCACUCUAAUUCUAUCUCUGAUGAUCAUUCAGGGGACAAAACAGUUUCAGUUACCCAGUCGUCAUCAUCUCUGACUGAUGGUUUGGACUUCAUUUUACGUGCAACACCGCAUAAUUCAACCAGCAAUGCACCUGUAUCAGUUAAUAAUUCUAUCCAAGUUAAUGGUUCUUGUAGCCCUGCUGUUCAUUCCCAUCAUGAGACUCAAAAAUUUGCUGAGAGAUGGAACUACAAAGAAGCUAAUGUUGCUCUGACAUCUUUUGAGUCUAUUCUUGGAUUACUAACAAGGACAAAGGAAAGCAUUGGUCGAGCAACGCGUAGUGCCAUUGAGUGUGCAAAAUUUGGUGUUGCUGCUAAGGUGGUAGAAAUUCUUGCACGGAGUUUGGAACGAGAAUCAAGUUUACACCGAAGAGUGGACUUAUUCUUUCUAGUUGACUCUAUUGCGCAGUGCUCAAGGGGCUUGAAAGGUGAUGUUGGUGGCAUAUAUCCUUCAGCGAUUCUAGCAGUAUUGCCACGUUUAUUGUCAGCUGCUGCUCCUCCUGGAAGUAGUUCUCAGGAAAAUCGUAGGCAGUGCUUGAAAGUUUUGAGGGUCUGGCAGGAAAGAAGGAUCCUCCCAGAAUCCAUUGUUCGCCACCAUAUCCGGGAACUCGAUUCUCUCUGUGGUUCAUCUUGUUCUAGAGCGUUCUCACGUCGUCCUUUACGAAAUGAAAGGGCAUUUGAUGAUCCAAUUAGAGAAAUGGAGGGCAUGAAUGUUGAUGAAUAUGGAAGCAAUUCAAGUAUUCAACUUCCUGGAUUCUGCAUGCCUCCUAUGUUGAGGGAUGAAGAUGAUGGAAGUGAUUCUGAUGGAGAGAGUUUCGAGGCAGUCACUCCUGAACGUGACACUGAAAAAUCUGAAGGAAAUUUGAAGCCUGUCCCUGUAGUUGAGAAGCAUCGUCAUAUCUUGGAAGAUGUUGAUGGUGAGCUUGAAAUGGAGGAUGUGGCUCCCUCUUCUGAUGCUGUUGUUUCCACUAGUCAUAGUGCGGGAACUGAUAUUCUGCAUGCAUCACAUCAUUCAAUUGGAAAUCCAGCUUCUGUGGUCUUUGCUCCUCCAUUACCCAAGGAUGUUCCACCAAUGUCUCCUCCUCUGCCAGUAUCUCCUCCACCCCCACCUCCACCCCUACUCCCAGUUCCUCGAGCGUCUCUUCCUCUUCCAUCUGAAAGGCCUGAUUGCAUUGCAAGUAGUCUUAAUUCUAAGCUCUUUACUUGUUCACAGAACAUAGAAGAUGACUUGCAAAAAUCUACUGCAGAUCAGUCUAUUGCACCAGGAGUCAACCUUUUGACUUCUGAGACAGCUCAAUGUUCUUCACAUGGCCAUAUUGAUUUUCAUUCUCAGGUGCCAAAACAAAUACCAAACUCAACUAAUUGUUCAUUCAGUAGCCCACCUGUCUCCCAUCCACCAGUUCGAACAGUAAAUAAUCCACCAGCUGAUGGUGCAUUCAACAAGGGUUUCCAUUUACGUCCGCCUCAUCCUGCUCCAUCUAAUCAGUUUUCCUACAUGCAAGUCGAUCAUCGAGCACAGUCAAGGAGGGAUAUCCCACCAGCGUCCCACCCCACCAGAUUCCAUUUACAGAACACUGAUAAUGGAAACUUUUACAGAGAUUGUGAUAGGAUGAAAUUGGCACCACAUGAUAUUGGAGAGCGGUGGAGGGCUCCCCCACCUUUUCCUGGGCCACGGUAUCUUGAGGGAUCAAGAAUGCCUUAUGCACCCGCUCCAUUUUCCAGCCAACUUGGUGAAGCAGCACCACCAAGCAAUCAUUGGGCUUUUCCUCCCCGAGCCAUGAAUCAUAUGCCUCAUAGGCCCCCUUCUGGGGGUCCAAUACCUGUGGCAGCUAGAGGUAUUUUUCCUGCACUUUUUCCUAGGAAUAUCACACCAUAUUCCCUUUACAACUACUGCCUAAUGUCCUUUUUUACUCAAUUGGAAGCCAACAUUUAUUUGAGUUUGCUUGAGGGAGGGUAUAGGGAGAUUGGCACAAGUUUCUGGUAGUGAAAAGAUUCUGAUGGCUGAUGAGAAGUGAAAAUGGAGAUAAAAACGUAUGCAAAGGUUUAAGGAGAAAAGUAGUAACAGGUUGUCCAUCAAAUUUACUUGAAAGGCAGUAGACACAUGGUAACAUGAGAUUAAUAGGGGUUACCAUGUAGCUUGUGCCAUAUAAUCCUGUGGAAGGUGGCUUUCUAUCCUUUUAUUAUUUAUUAUAUAGACUCUAUAUAAGGCCAAUUUAUGCGAGUUGGUGUAGGUAGGGCUGAUUAAGCAAGAAGUUUGUUCAAAAGACAAGGAAACUUUGAAGGUUGCAUGCUGGGGAAUGGUUUGCAUUACUUGUAUGCAGCUUUUAUGAAACUCUACAGGUGGGAACCGGUUUGUAUUGUGCUUUUGGCCUAAUUUUGGUUUUCUCUGUAUUACAGGUCCCAACUGCUGGAGACCGAGAUGAGUAAUCAUCAAUGGCUUCAAGUGAAUGGUGCAACCGGUUUCUUUUUGCGGCUUGUUCAAAAUAUGGAGAAUUUUUGGCUGAUCUGUACCUUGUAUAAGAUAUGUACCAUUGAUGAGGAGGAUGUCCACGAAGGGAAAUAACAGCAUAGCCAUUACGUGACUGUAUAUAUGUAUUUAUGAAUCCCCUCGAGUAAAAUUGGAAAGGGAGCUGUAUCCCUGAGGCUGCGAGUUUGGUACCUUAAUAUAUAGUUUUUUGAAACUCUGGAAACUUUUAGUAGUCCUAUUUAUUUCAGUAGCGUGGCAUAGGACUUGUCAUCAACUUUUUGGCAAAAAUUAUAGGACGACCCUUUCUUCUUUUCCUGGUGGCUCUGCUUAGUCUCUGUAAAAAUCUAAAUGUUGCUUGUACAUUCCAGAUAGUAUAAUUUCGUCCCAGCUAAUCAGAAUGAUUGAAGCUGGAGAUUCCUCGAUGUCAUAAACAUUUUGUUCCUUGUGCAGUGUAAUAUUCUUGCAAUAGGAAAUGGUACCAACUGCCGGAUUUUCUA